ACAUCUAUCGAAGAGAGUACAGACAAGACAACCCCAAAGUGAAGCACUUAUGAACACAAUAAUCAUCAGUGUCUCCAUUUGAGUGAUACAUCUAUCGAAGAGAGUACAGACAAGACAACCCCAAAGUGAAGCACUUAUGAACACAAUAAUCAUCAGUGUCUCCAUUUGAGUGAUACAUCUAUCGAAGAGAGUACAGACAAGACAACCCCAAAGUGAAGCACUUAUGAACACAAUAAUCAUCAGUGUCUCCAUUUGAGUGAUACAUCUAUCGAAGAGAGUACAGACAAGACAACCCCAAAGUGAAGCACUUAUGAACACAAUAAUCAUCAGUGUCUCCAUUUGAGUGAUACAUCUAUCGAAGAGAGUACAGACAAGACAACCCCAAAGUGAAGCACUUAUGAACACAAUAAUCAUCAGUGUCUCCAUUUGAGUGAUACAUCUAUCGAAGAGAGUACAGACAAGACAACCCCAAAGUGAAGCACUUAUGAACACAAUAAUCAUCAGUGUCUCCAUUUGAGUGAUACAUCUAUCGAAGAGAGUACAGACAAGACAACCCCAAAGUGAAGCACUUAUGAACACAAUAAUCAUCAGUGUCUCCAUUUGAGUGAUACAUCUAUCGAAGAGAGUACAGACAAGACAACCCCAAAGUGAAGCACUUAUGAACACAAUAAUCAUCAGUGUCUCCAUUUGA